AUUUCCCCCCCCUCCCGUCAGCAUCAUCAUCAUCGUUAUGGCUUGUGUGGGGUGUUUUUUUUUUGUUUUUUUUUUUUUUUUUUUUUUUUUCCGUUAAAGGGUUGUUAUUUAAUAGCUGGAUGUGACAAUAGCCGGAUACUCAUAUAUCCGCGGAUAAUAAACAUUUAUAUCUGAGCACAUCCACGGGGGCAGGCGGGAGGCGUUACUCAGGGUGGGCAGCCCCCAGCCCGGUGCUUCACCUGGGGCCGGGGCCGGGAUUGGGGGGGGGGCACACGCGGGCAGCUCAGCUCCCAGCACGGCGCCCGGUCGGCGGGAGCGAUGGAAACUUCCAGAUCCCAGCCCCUGCACUGCGUUUCUGCACAACUCGGCCCCAGCUGGUUAUUGUCCCCGUUGUUGUUUUCUGUCGCUGAGUCGCGGUUUUGCUACUAAAAGAUGUUCAGGAAGUGUUCGCACGACUUUAAAAAAAACGUGUUUCGCUUUAUUCCUACCUUAGCGUCAAGUUUCUCCAGUUGGAAACAUGGGAGUGUUUCCAGUUUCAGUACUGCUUGACUUCAGAGCACCUCAUGAGGGGCUCCCGGUGCCCACGGAGCAUCCCUUCUGAAAGACAGGUGAUGCUUCCCAGGACUCCCAUAGAAGCGUCCUGGGAGAAGGCAGGAGCUGUGCCCUGCUCUCCGGCCCCGCAUCGCCCACAGCGUUCACCCCCAGGGCUGCAGGCACCGUGCCACUCACCCAGGGGCCUUGGUGAAGACUCUGGAGGUCUUCAGGUGCUGGGAAAUGUGCAGCGCUUCAGGAGCUACCCUUGCUGCUGAUGUGAAGAGAGAGCAGUACCACAUAGACAAUCUAAAAAAUGAUUCUACGGAAAAAUAAGGUCCUUGCUCGGCAAAGGGAUCACCGGUUGCGACCCCCAGACCUCCGCUAAGUCGCACUAAUCCCUUGUAAAGCCAUUGUUAGUUCUUGGGAUAAGGAUGUCUGUAUACAGUGAGCGCAGAGAAAAAUGACGAAAAAGGAGGAUACACAUAAAUUGUACCAACACGGGCUCUUUCAGUUGAUGAGAGCGAAGAUAGAAAUAAUUUUGUUGUGGAUCCAAAUGGUGGCAUCGUGCUGUACUGACUUCGUAUCUUGUCUUCAUUCCACUAGCUUUUCAAAAGGACGUGCUUUUGAGACGUGACUUUAGAAAGGUGUUGCUUUACAAUCUUUUUAAAAAUGAGUUAUUUCAGCAUAAAACUAUGUAAAAAUUAUGCAUUGUGGAUGCACAAUGGUAUUUUUAUUGCGUUCUUAGAUAUGGCUCACUGAACAGUAAAACCAAUUUUCAUGUGAUCUUAAAGAGGGCAGAAGUCUUUGUCACGCUUUGAAAAAUAACUUUUGCACAAAUUUGUUUAUUGGAGUUAUUAAUUUUUGUGAAUAUUCAGGCAGUGCUCUGUUGGCCUGAGCAGCGACAAAGAAAGAAUGACAAGCAGAUUUUUAUUAAACUAGAUUACACCGGAUAGCUUACAUUUCCUUUCUCUGUUCAUCAAUUUAAAAAGAAGAAAAUGCAGUACUUCGUCUGAUAGCAGUUGUGUUGUGUAAGUCCAGCUGAGGAAUCGCUCAAGGGUAUCUUCCGACCAAGUCAAACUUCAGGAUUUUUACUACUCCACUUUUUUACUACAGCCCCCAGCACCGUGGACAAUGACAGAGCUACUGGCAAUAUUAAAUCGUCACAGAGUCAUAGAAUCGUAGAAUGGCCUGGGUUGAAAAGGACCUCAAAGAUCAUCGAGUUUCAACCCCCUGCUGAGUGCAGGGUCACCAACCACUAGACCAGGCUGCCCAGAGCCACGUCCAGCCUGGCCUUGAAUGCCUCCAGGGAUGGGGCAUCCACAACCUCCCUGGGCAACCUGUUCCAGUGGAACUAAGAUAAUAUUCUUUAUUGCAGCAUAUGCAUAUACAAUAAGGUGACUCCUGUGGUAGAUUCUAUAGUCUUCGAAUAGCCGCUCAUUAAAGACGAAGUGUCUCCCAUUGGAUUGGGUGUAAUUUUCCAACCUUUUGCUUCUAGACAGUGAUUUACAGUUACGGAAAGUUAUGGAAAAUCAUACUAGCAUGUUGGUAGUUCCUCUUGCUUUACAGAGCUGUUUCUGAUUUAUUUUGUAAUUAGCUGUUGUAUCAUGUUACCAUGCAGUGAGCUCAGGCAUACAGUACCCUGUCGUACCAUUGACGGAAGAUAUGGCAGUCCUUAUCUCUAGAGCAGGGAGCCCCAAGCCCAACAAAUACACACCUGAGAACAUAAGGACUGCCUCUCUUAGCCCAUGCAGUCAGCAGAAAGCUCUCUGCGUGCUUUAGAGAAGGCUGGCAGACCUUCAGGAGGGAGGAGACGACUUGGCUGGCCUGGAUGAUUGAAGAAGAGAGAUGGGGCGUGACAGAAGGAUCCUAGGAGAAAGUGUGCCAAGACCUGUCGGAAUGGGAUUGUAUUUGAGUGUCUGUAUCGCCUGGUGCAUCCUGUAGGGCAUUCUGGGAGCACGUGCUAUUUGGCAGCCAAAGUUUGAUAGAGCAUUGCCAUUUUUUAGAAGCACAGAAGGAUGCCCAAGUGAAGGAAAUAGCCACAUUUUCCUCAGUUCUUCUCUUUGGAGAAUUGAGAAUCUGUUUAUGCUGAGGUAACUGGUUCCUUUGCAAAGCUGUUUUCUCUAUUAGCUUACUUUCUCUGAGAUCCCAUUUGAAAUGUGUGAGUAAAAAAGCACAGUGAUGGGUAGACAGGGAGCAUUUUAAUCAGUGCAAUAUGACAGUGUAUCCCCUAGCCAUAAAAUAGUUGCAAUGUGAUACCUAUGUAAUAAGCUGCACUGCUGUGCAAGAGAGUUAAAAAAAAAAAAAAAAGACCUUAAAAACAGCAAUAAAAAUCUGCUGCGUGAAAAAGAUAACAUCCAGAUCCUAAAACAAGGCUAAGAUUAAAUCUGUUUGUCUGGGAGCAUGCGUGCAAGCGGCUCGUUUCGCUGUAAAGACGGGCAAAGGAGUUAUGAAGAAAGUACGGAAAAAUAAA